GUUGAGUGGUUCUGAAAUCGCUGCGCUAGGGGCGACUGCAACCAAGCGUUGCGGCAAGUUACGGUGGGAGCUUCUGUCCGUGCUGUGUGAUUGCGACGAGGGGACCGCCGCCAGCAGCAGCGUUUCGCCGAUUUCGUCUUUGCUGACAUCGAGCAAGUGCGCUCGCCGGAAGCGCCCGAAGUGCUGCGGUUUGCACUGCAUCUUUCAUUGUGAUAUGGGAGAUCGCAACGGACAGAGACGACCAGAUGCAUACGAACCACUACCAGCGGGGACCUGUGACCUGUGCCAUAUUUCUCUUAACGUCUCAGGUAUUCAAGAAAUGCCAACAUCCAGAAGAAGACGCCAUCUUAUCCAGCACGUUAUGGGUACACUCUGGUGGCUCCCGCCCCUGCAUCCUACCACCACUGUGUCCUGACUACGUCCACUAGGGAGUUUGAAGCCUUUGGCGGUUCCUGCCACUGCGUCCUGCCACCACCAUGUCCUGACUACAUCCACUAGGGAGUUGGCAGCCUUCGUGAUGAUGCCAAGCAGGCUGGAAGCCGACAGAAAGAUUAAGGUUGCCUCGAAAUUUUACCAAAGCCGUACCACACACUCGGGCCAGGCCUCUUGCAAAUGGCGUAUAACCAGGCUCAACGCAUGAGUGUCGAGUGAGUCCGGAGAUCAAGGCAACCUGCUGUGCAACCAGCGUGCAACCUUUGGUGACCCCUCUACAUGUUCCACCUAUUUCACAGCUGCACCUCAGCUGCAACUUAUCCAAACAGCAUCACCAACUGUGGUCACUCAUCGAACCAUGGAUGAAUGUUAGGGUGGAGUGAUUUGAAGAGACAUUCUAUUUGUCUCUUCAAAUUCUUAGCAAAUACUUGUGUUAUUAUAAUUAAUAUGUGUCUUUAGUGCCUAGUUUUUAAUGGUUCCUUUCUAUUAGAAUUCUCACCAUCGAUUCCUGCUACAGUGAAACCUCGUUAAACCGUAGUCGGCCGGAGCUCGGAAAAAGUACGUACUAAACGGUAGUACUGUUUAAGCGAAAUAGCAUGAGAUCGCCCACUUACCUGUCGAUAACGGAACUCAGAGAGAGUGCGAUGAAAGGGGAAAAAACAUGCAGUAUUUAUUCACUUCGCGGGACGUAAGUGUUAUUUUCGUUUGAUGUCGCGGCGGCCUAGUACGACGACAGCGGCCUCAAACUUACUGAAGCUGCGUGCCAGCUUCUCAGCCAGCUCCCCUCUUCUCGGCAAACACUCGCACGGCACGACAGAUUCCUCGUUGGCGUUACGUAUUCUCCGUGCACGCGCGCAGUAGUGCUGCAUAAGUCCCGUGGCGCCUUUUUCAUUGCCGGGUGCCGGAGUUCGGAAAACUUUUCGUUUGGAAUAGUUACGUUAUCGCGCCCCUGUUCUUGCGACGAUCGCAUUCACGAGGCUGACGUAACGCGCAGCUUCUGCCACUGUCGGGCCUGAAUAGCCCGUGCUGUCGAUUUCCGUGUCGUCCUCAUCACUGUCGCUAGUUGACACUUCGGCAACAACAGCGGCAACGAUGGUGAAUAGUCGAACCUCGUAGCCGACAUCUCUUCGCGGUCGCAGCAGCGCUGCCGAGCAACUUCGCAUUCCAAAUGCCACACACUGUAGUCAACAGCAGAUCCAUGUCGCAGGCCAGCGCCGACUUCUUCGUGUCACGUUCGGUAGCACGGACGAUGUCUAAUUUUUCUUCUAUGCUGAGCACCCGACGUCUUUUUUAUCCUAGCUUUGACAUGACGCGAGUCCUCGCUUGCACGACGCCACAACGCUCUCUGGCAUGGCGUCCAUGCGGCGUCGAAAUGAUGUUGAUGUUGAUGCGGCUUCACAUGCAAACGCACAGGGCGCUUGGAGGCCGUUGUACCGAUCUCUGAGGCUUGUUGUUCUGCCGGGCCGCCCGAUGGAGACGACGCACCGCCAUGUUUGCGCGACGAAAAGUGGAAACGCUACGUUUUAACCGAUGCGUACGCAAUAAGCUGGUACGGUUAAUGCGGAUACAAAAUACAUUAUGUUCAAUGGCCGCUGAGUCGGGGAAUUGACUUUACUACUUUUAAACCGAAACUACUGUUUAAGCGGGUACGGUUUAACGAGGUUUUACUGUAUUACUAUAAUGUAUGUCUUUAUGCCCAGUUUUUCGUAGUUCUAUUGUACUUGUGUAUGUAAUUGAUAGGUUCAUACUUGUUAUACAGAAAGCUAAAAUGCAAACUUACAGCAUUUUUUUCUUUCUUUUGAUAAUCUACAGCACUGCAAAGUGUUCAAGAAAUGUAACCUAACGUGGGCUCUUGUGCAGGAAAAAUUUAAGAGCAAUAUAGAGUACUUAUUUCAAACACCCAUUAUUCUUGGAAAAGUCAAGAAUAUAGGAGCACAAAAAAGAAAAUAUUAAACUAGAAAAACAUGAGUUCCCCUCAUAAGUCUGAUAAUAAUGUGACUUCCUUUCACUGCAAAGAUACCAGUAAUAUACUCGCAUACAAGGUUUCAAACAAGAAAGCUAUGAUGCCCUUUGCAUUUCUCGGUGCCUAUUUGCCACACUGACGAGUGUCAAAGGCAUCGUAGGUUAUAUGCACACAUUGGUUGUGUUACACUUUUGGGUAUUUCAUUUCUCGAACACAAAGGUUUACAGCAGUGCUUUAAAUAGCAAGUGCAUUUCCUAAUUUAUUAGUGCAAGAGUAACAGUACAGAUCAUGUAAAAAUUAUUUUACAGACUAUAUGUCCAUGGAUGCACGCUUCUGAUGACAUAGCAGUGACGUGGUCGUGGGAUGAAUGUCUUUAUUUAAGAUUUAAAUAUUGGCUUCCAGGUCUGGGUUAGUCUUCUACACUGAGUAGUCUAGGUCAGAGUCCAUUUACUAGAGAAAGUGAAUUAAACUAGAAAUUAUAAACAUCAAAAGAUCUUGUUUAGGACACUAAUAAGACAAUCAGCAAGGUUCUUUGGUUAUUCAUUUCCAAAUUUGUGAGGAUAUAUGUUAUGACUGGUUUCAAUAUUGUGAGAACAAAUAUUUGUUUAUUGUCACACUAGAGUUGGCUGCCCCCAUUUGUAUACAACCCCUUUACAGGCUAAAAAUUCAGUGUGUUACCCUAUUUACUCGCAUAGUGAUCGCACUUUUUGGCAAAAAAAAUUGACUCAAAUACAGGGGUGCGGUCAUUACACUGGUUAAUUUUCCCGCAAUAAGAAAAAAAUAUAUUAUCUGGCAUUUACUAUGGGAAUACAACAGGUCAACAAAUAGGCGGCUGCUGCUGUAUGUAGUGCAGGACACGAAAAAAAAUGGUGGCCGGCAGAGCAAGCCGAACGCGCCGAAUGCAUUUUUCUUCUCGUGAGUACAUUACAGUGCAUUCAAACAGUUUCUUCCAUAUUAGUAAUGAAUAAUAUUGGCAAGUUUGCGGCAAUAACAUAGCCAUGCCCACUUUGAGGGGACAGAAACAGAUGGGCGCGCUUAGCUGCCAGUGACAUAGGAACACAUGCUGCGGAAACUGCGGCAUUUGUCUUCACCACUAUCCUAACGUGGCACGUUUCCGCUGAGGGUGGGUGAAUAUCUUAGCUACGUUACAAACGUCGGCGAAUGAAUAGGGUACACUUCUAACGUAUCAGUGUAAACGUGGCUGCUAUCAUUGCCGCUCGUGAUUUGUUGCGUGCCCACAAGUGCAGAUGAGAAGAAUCGAAAGACGCCUUUUUUUGUUGUUUUUGUUGACCACAACCAUUAUAAAGCCUACACAUAAUAAAGGAAAGUUUGGUUGUAGCUUUUUUUUGUCGUAGAAGUGCGGAAAGUGAUGAAAGCAAUGAAAUGGGGCAUCUGCUUAAGAAAGUUUUUUGCGUGCAGACUGCUUGGUUUGUCUUGAAGAGUCGUUCGCAUAGCAGUCGACAGACGGUAAGCGCGAUCAUUAUUAGCUAGAUUUGGCACAUGACACAUGGCUGCGGCAAGUUUGGGGUGAAAUCAUUACGUGGGAAAUAAAAAAAAAAUCGAAUUAAAACGACAAAAUUUAGGGGUGCGAUCAUUACGCGAGUGCAAUCAUUAUGCGAGUAAAUACGGCAAUAGGCUGUUUUUGGUUUUGUGCACUCUAUGUUAAGGGAUGCAAAUGGUGACAUACAACAGAAUGCAAAAAUGACUAAUGAAUUCAAGCAGGACAUGGGGCUUUUUAGGCAGAUGCGUGCGUGUGCUAUUUAUAAAGCUCCCCAUGGUAUGCCUGAAGGCAUUUUCUAACACUUUCGUAGAAUACACUGACACCCACUUAUAAACUCCUCGAAACAACUUCUUUAUAUAUUUGUACUAGAGAUUUGAAUAUACUGUCAUUCAUAAAGUGUUUUAUUAGAUUUGAAUUGUCAUUUAUUUUUGUGUAGCUGCUGUUUUUUAGUUAUGUCCUACACAGUGGCAAAAUAUUUUUGGGGGCACUUUCCUGUGUAAAAAAUUUUCAGAAAUAGCUUUAUGCUGUAUCUUAUUUAGCUAUUCGUAUACUGCAAAGUGGUGAUACCUAUCCAAACGGCUUGUACAAUUACUGGAACUAUGCAAAAAUAUAUUAGGCCACAUUAAAUAAUUUUACAGAUUGCAAUUUCGAUUAGAUAUCAGCAUCUGCAUAUCUUGAAGAGUACGUAUGCCAAAUUUCGUUAGUAUAGGACAACUAUAAGUGCAUAAGGUUAUUCUCAUGCUAUUGUGAGAAAAUGUUUUUGAAGUAUAUUCAAUAGCUUUUUUUCACAAUAGCAUGAGAAGUAUGCAAGAUUAAUAGGCAGGCCUCUCUGCCUGCCUACUAAUCUUGCAUACUUCUAGUAACUUUACAUGCUGUUUGAAUAGACAUCGGUACUUUGUAGUCUACGAAGAGCUGAGGUAGCUACAGCACACUGCUUUUUGUGAAAAUUUAGUACACAAGAAAGUGCCCGCAAAGAUCAGUGUAUUUUCCCAUUGUGUAGGACAUAACUCAAGAAGCAGCUAAAGAAAUACUAAUGACAUAUAUGAAAUCUGCAUGAAAAACUCUACAAUUUGCUCUCUUUCAAAGCCUCUAGUACGAAUAAUAAGACUGUUUCGAGUAAUAUUCAAUCAGCAAAACAUGCCCCUUGCUAUGGUGACCUACAACAUAGAAACGCAAAUUGAAUGCAAGUCUUUUUGUUAAAGCGACUCUGGGCUGUCUUCCCAAGGGCUUCUGUUAAACACUGAAAUUUCCUGCAUUUACCAGAAGUGCAAUACUAAAAUGUUUGUGGAUGUGCAAUUGGUAUUGGCAAACUAACAGAAAAAAAGACAGUUCUGUGAAAUGAAGAAUUGACUAUAACUUUGUUCGACAUUUACAUUUCCACUCCAUAUCUUUGUUUUGUGCUUUGUACUGAGUGUUUCAGCAGUGACUGCCGCUAAAAAUUGAACAUAACUGCUUCAUGACAAUGCGACAAUUUUCGCUAACAGAAAUUUAUAGCAGUGGCAGGCAUUAUAAUUACAGUACUCAAUAACGUCUAGUUUGUAAGAACUCAGACUAGCACCAGUUCCGAGAUACACAACCCAAAAAGACAUGACAGGUUUAUCUUCCACACAGAAUUGUCCCAUGAGGCUUACAAAAUGUUUUGUGGCUAAGUAAUAUCUGCAACAGCAAAGCAUGUUCCACCAAGUAUGGCGAUAAAUAUUUCAGAGCUGUCAGUCUGAGGACUCCUACAAACUAACAAUACCUUCAGCACUGACUAGCCUCAAUAAUAGGAUGUCAGCCAUUUUGCUGAAAUUAAUAAAACUUCAAUUAUUGUGAUCUUGUUUACGAGAAAAUUUGCAAUUGUAAUGCAGUUCUAGCAUCUGUCACUUUUGUAAAUAUUUUCCAGUUAGUUUUUCAGACUACAAUUUUUGGUAAUAGAGGUAUUCAUUGCAGAAAGAUCUAGUACAUGGCACUUAAUAAUAAAGGUACUGGUCAUUGUAGACUUUCUGUUGCACAGCUGUUUCUUGAAAUCUGAAAGGAUGUACCCGCCUCCUUAUGUUAGCUAGAAACGGAAAUCUGCCAGUAUGUUUUGUUUAAAAUACAGCUGAUCAACCCGAUAGUUAGGCUGCUUGCCAAAUAUAAAUCAUAACAAUAAUAGUGAAGAACCAUAAUAACAAAGUGAUGCUGACUCAUAACUAUGCCCAGCUACAUCCACGCAGCUGUGCCAUACAAUGUGCAUGUGUUCAGAAGAGCCAAAUGCCCCAGAGAGAAAGCAACAGUAACUCAUUGUUUGUCAUGUUGUUCAAGCAGAUUAUGCGCUAGCUGUAAUUUAUGCUCAGUAAAUACAUAAAUCAGUCAUGUCAGGUGUCUUACUUUAGGUUGCAAGUUCGAAGCUCUUGUAAUCUUGCUUGUUUUUAUUUUGUUUCCUUUGUGAGCAUGAGUGACUUGGUUGCCUUCGCACAUAUUCUCAAAACUGUUUCAUCACUGGGAAUCAGGAAAUUUAAUUUACAUAUGAAAUUCCCAGUUACUAAUUUGGUAGGCUUUGAGCUUAAUUCUCUUAUCUUUUAUAUGUUUAGCUACCAAGUAGUCUUAUCGUGCAUUGAAACAUAUCCAUGCAAUGCAGAGAGGGCACCUAAAUUAUAAAUAUCUGUUCUUGCUUUCUACCCUGCUCUGGUGUUUUCAAAACCUAGCAUUGGUGCAAUGGCCUGUCUGCAGAAAAG